AGCUAAUACCGCAUAACGUCGCAAGACCAAAGAGGGGGACCUUCGGGCCUCUUGCCAUCAGAUGUGCCCAGAUGGGAUUAGCUAGUAGGUGGGGUAAUGGCUCACCUAGGCGACGAUCCCUAGCUGGUCUGAGAGGAUGACCAGCCACACUGGAACUGAGACACGGUCCAGACUCCUACGGGAGGCAGCAGUGGGGAAUAUUGCACAAUGGGCGCAAGCCUGAUGCAGCCAUGCCGCGUGUGUGAAGAAGGCCUUCGGGUUGUAAAGCACUUUCAGCGAGGAGGAAGGUGGUGAGCUUAAUACGCUCAUCAAUUGACGUUACUCGCAGAAGAAGCACCGGCUAACUCCGUGCCAGCAGCCG
rnacentral:rRNA from 1 species